AUACGUAGGGGGCGAGCGUUGUCCGGAUUUAUUGGGCGUAAAGGGUGCGUAGGCGGCCUUGUAAGUCAGAUGUGAAAGAUCAUGGCUUAACUGUGGUAAGCAUUUGAAACUGCAGGGCUUGAGUACAGGAGAGGAGAGUGGAAUUCCUAGUGUAGCGGUGAAAUGCGUAGAUAUUAGGAGGAAUACCAGUGGCGAAGGCGACUCUCUGGACUGAUACUGACGCUGAGGCACGAAAGCGUGGGGAGCAAACAGGAUUAGAUACCCCGGUAGUCCUGGCAGUAAACGAUGUAUGCUGGGUGUGAGACUAGCGAUAGUUUCGUGCCGAAGUUAACGCGAUAAGCAUACCGCAUGGGGAGUACGGUCGCAAGAUUGAAACUCAAAUGAAUUGACGGGG
rnacentral:rRNA from 1 species